AACCUAUUGAACAGAAACAUAUGAUUAAUAAAACCAACACAGUGCCUCUUUAUUUUGAGACAAACAGAAACAUAUAAAGAGUUGUAAAAUGCAGAGAUUAUCUUUGUUCUUGAGGUUACACUUUCCGUCUGGACUGCUUACAAAUAACUACUCUUCUACAUUUUUAUAUCUUCCAUUCUCUAGGCAUUCAAGACAUCUUUGUAAUGUAAAUGUUCUUGCUAAAAAAGUAAUUAAACAUCAUUAGCAGACAUAGCAAAUCAAGCUGAUAGUUUCUGAUAGGUCUAUAUAGGUAAUUAAAACGGCUUCAAUCAUUAAGUGGUCGCACUUAAUGAAGAAAAAUAUCACUUUGUAGACGUUCCCUAGGCUUCUCUCAGCACCCAGUUGGAUAUUCAACAGACAUUCGCAACAAGGUAGGACAUUUCAACGAUACUAGGAUAUUUUAAGUGAUUGUGAAAAAUGUAGGUUAUAGGCAAGACACUUGGUAAUUAGAAAUUGCUAAGAUUAAACUUCUGGCAUGUCUACUAAGAAAGUUAUUGACCCCGGAAGUCCGAAUGUCUGAAUAUCAAACCAACUUUACCGCAGUGAAGAGAAGACGGGUGCACAAUCCCAAGAUUGCGGAGGCUGUACGGCGUCUCUGAGGCACACUGCAGGCGCUAUGAACCAGAGCAAAGACUAACAUCGCCUCAUAACAAAGCCGUGACCUCCGAUUUGCUUGGUGCAAUUUCAGCAAGUCCAGAUUUACUGCUGAGAAUGACGACAUUGUUUCUGCCUGUAAGACGUAUUAUGAGUCGGUACGCCGGAGCUUCAGAUACAAACAACCUGAACUCGCAUCGCAGGCGGAAAAUGCGAAAAGUUUAGCUCGGAGUCGAUCCAGAAGAAAAAGGUUGCUGGAAGCGAGACGAAGUGUGCUGGCUGAGGAUGAGAUGGACAUUUGGAAGUGCGCCACCAUAGAUCUCAUAUCUGAUGAGGAAGACGGCAUUGUUGACGGGGUGUCUGGAUGGAUUGUGCGGCCACCGCCCUCUCUCAGCCUGGAACUCACAAGUUAACCCACAAACGAAGAAGAAACAGCUACUUCUUGUGUAUGAUUUGAGAAGACCAGCAAUGAUGGAAGUAAAUAAACAGCGACUUUUGUUGCAGUUUGAGUUAAAUCACUCCUCAACUUGGCCAUUUCACCGUCGCAAACGGAAAUACCUAUGACGCAGUUUUUUACCUGAGGUGGGGGGGUUCUGGUGAACCAAUCGCGGCACUUGCGGUCCGCGUAGAACUGAUGCGUAGUGAAAAUUUUGUGAGGUGCACAUCAAGCUAUGCAGAGCUACGAACAGACUUUGGAUAGCCUACGCGGUAGCUACGGCGUAGAACUUACGCAGGACAAUAAAUUGGGCUUAACGGUUGCUUAGUGAUUUUUACAUUCUUGGUUACGGCGGUGUGACAGCAAAAUUCCGGUCGCCGUAGCUGUUCCAUUACCAGCUGUUGCUUAAAGUCCCUAUUAAUGCAACGGAACAAGUUCAAGGACUCUGUCACUUGAUCACGUACACAUCGCAACUCUCUUCCUGAGAGUUAGUUGUUGUAUUUUGACUGGUUAAUAAACAAGUUUUGCAAGUGUGCGAACGUUGCUUUCUUCCGCUAUUUUGUAUGGAAGUCAAUGGGAGGUCAAGUAGUUUUCCCCAAAAAAUGGCCGUGAACCUGUUCAGAGACAUUAUAAGACGUUGCGCCGGUUGUGCGUAUUUCACAAGUGCUUCCGUGUUGAAUGGUCAUAAAUUAACCAUUUUCCUGCCAGCGUUUAAAAAAAAGUUGCCAGUGCCAGCAUUUUUUAUGAUUUUCACAGAAAAUGUUCUUCUUUAAGUAUAUAAACAUACAAUAUAUCAAAUGAAAGAACAGACCAUCUGCUUUCAAACAAACAAAAAAGUUUUAUCUUACCUUUAUUUGUUCUCUUUCCUUGUUAUCACCUCUCAAAUAUGGGUAGGUUUCUUCAAUAAAAAACACAAUUUUGGGCAAAAAGCUAAAAUAAUUAAAUUUUUCGGAAGGACUUUUGAUCAGAUCAGAUUUAGAGCGAUGAUCAAAACAUACAGAGAGUUUGAACUUUUUGCGCUAAGGGCAUACUUCUGGUUUUAGAUGUUGGGUAAAAG